UUUCGGCCAAAAGGCCCCGAGGUUCGGCGACCAACUAACGCCUACAUCCCCGUUGAGCAUCCAUACGGAUUAAGCUCGAAUCCACUAUAAAGAUACCCAUAUUGGGAAAAACUAAGUUACAAACAUAUGAGAGUACACUGCCGUUUCUCCUAAUCACAAGAGGCCCUCAGAUUCUAUAAUACAAUCUCACACAGAGAUAAAUCUCAACAAUUCUUUGUAAGGAAUUCACAUAGAAAUCACAAAAUAAAACCCACAGAAGAUUAGAGAGUUCGAAGAAGAAGAACGGCAGUCAAGAAGAAAAAUGAAAGUUAGGGUUAAACAAAAAUAUCUGAAACCCUAGUUAUAUGAGGCGUCCCACAAAGACCAAUCCAACGGUCACAAUCAUGCCACGCGUAAGAGAUCCAGCAGAGGACGCAUUUUGAAGUUAAAACGCGUUUCACAAAAACACGACUUUGUCACCUCUAGAAUGUUCAGUAAGUGUGGUAUAAUCAUUGGACCGGGUCAACAUAAUAUCCAUUGGGCUCAAAGAUUUCAGCAGCCCAAAUCCUUACAUUCUAGUCUCACAAAAUCAAACGAGGAGUUGUACUCAUUCUUCGAGGCAAAGCUCCCAGGCCGAAUUACCUAAACAGUUUUAACGAAUAAAAAACAAAUCAAACACAAACUUUGCAAAUACGGAACCUAUAUACUGUGAUUCAUCUCAGAAAAUUUAAUUUUAGAAUAAACCUCAGUUUUUUCCCAACUUCCGAUCUUGUAAUCAUUUGUUUAGGAUAUGCAUUUAUUUUCCACAACAAAUUUUAGCAAUACGUAAUAAAAACAGCAUUAUCCAAUUGCUUUGAUUUGAAUUAUCCUGAGAAAGCAAAUACAGUUCGUCUGAUCUUUCUUCGCAUGUACCAGCAGUAACAUAAAUAAUGGGCAACAAACAGAAGCUUAUAUGACAUAUGACUUAAGAAAUAUAAGUCGAACAACAAAAUUGAAACUUAUAUUAAUAAGUAAAAGAAUGAGAGAUAUGUUAAAAUAUGAUUAUGAAUUACUAUUACCUGGUCGGAAAAUCACCGGAAAGUUGACUAGGAAAUUGUUCAGACUCAACUCCGCGACCCCAUAUCUUUUGUCGAGUGGCUUUAGUAAUUGUAAAUGAAAUUGCCGUGUGAUUUGAAACAAGCUGCGCAGGCUUGAAGCCGAAGCCAAAGCGUGGCCCGUGGAUCAAUGGACCACAAACAAAAAAGGGCCCGAAAAAGGAAGAAUCCAGGUAACG
rnacentral:lncRNA from 1 species